AGUGAACGCUGGCGGUAGGCCUAACACAUGCAAGUCGAACGGCAGCACAGUAAGAGCUUGCUCUUACGGGUGGCGAGUGGCGGACGGGUGAGGAAUACAUCGGAAUCUACUUUUUCGUGGGGGAUAACGUAGGGAAACUUACGCUAAUACCGCAUACGACCUACGGGUGAAAGCAGGGGAUCUUCGGACCUUGCGCGAUUGAAUGAGCCGAUGUCGGAUUAGCUAGUUGGCGGGGUAAAGGCCCACCAAGGCGACGAUCCGUAGCUGGUCUGAGAGGAUGAUCAGCCACACUGGAACUGAGACACGGUCCAGACUCCUACGGGAGGCAGCAGUGGGGAAUAUUGGACAAUGGGCUCAAGCCUGAUCCAGCCAUGCCGCGUGGGUGAAGAAGGCCUUCGGGUUGUAAAGCCCUUUUGUUGGGAAAGAAAAGCAGCAGGUUAAUACCCCGCUGUUCUGACGGUACCCAAAGAAUAAGCACCGGCUAACUUCGUG
rnacentral:rRNA from 1 species